rnacentral:rRNA from 1 species
GAGUAAUCCGAUGAGAGUACUGUAUGAAUAAGGAUCGGCUAACUCCGUGCCAGCAGCCGCGGUAAUACGGAGGAUCCGAGCGUUAUCCGGAAUUAUUGGGUUUAAAGGGUGCGUAGGCGGCCAUUUAAGUCAGCGGUGAAAUUUUGCAGCUUAACUGUAACAGUGCCGUUGAUACUGUUUGGCUAGGAUUUGGUUGUAGUGUGCGGAAUGUGUGGUGUAGCGGUGAAAUGCUUAGAUAUCACACAGAACACCGAUUGCGAAGGCAGCACACUAAGUCAUUAUUGACGCUGAGGCACGAAAGUGUGGGGAUCAAACAGGAUUAGAUACCCUGGUAGUCCACACUGUAAACCAUCAAAAGUCGCUGUCGGCGAUACCACAGUCGGUGGCCAAGCGAAAAGCAUUAAGUUAUCCACCUGGGGAGUACGACCGCAAGGUUGAAACUCAAAGGAAUUGACGGGGGCCCGCACAAGCGGAGGAACAUGUGGUUUAAUUCGAUGAUACGCGAGGAACCUUACCCGGGCUCGAACGGUGCAUGAAUAUACGAGAGAUUGUAUAGUCCUUCGGGACAUGUAUCGAGGUGCUGCAUGGUUGUCGUCAGCUCGUGCCGUGAGGUGUCGGCUUAAGAACCAUAACGAGCGCAACCCUUGUCAUUAGUUGCCAUCAGGUCAAGCUGGGGACUUUAAUGAGACUGCCACCGUAAGGUGUGAGGAAGGGGGGGAUGACGUCAAAUCAGCACGGCCCUUAUGUCCGGGGCGACACACUUGUUACAAUGGGAGGUACAGAGGGCAGCUAUCCGGUGACGGAAUGCUAAUCUCCAAAACCUUUCUCAGUUCGGAUUGGAGUCUGCAACUCGACUCCAUGAAGGUGGAUUCGCUAGUAAUCGCGCAUCAGCCAUGGCGCGGUGAAUACGUUCCCGGGCCUU